rnacentral:rRNA from 1 species
UACGGAGGGGGCUAGCGUUGUUCGGAAUUACUGGGCGUAAAGCGCACGUAGGCGGCUUUGUAAGUUAGAGGUGAAAGCCCGGGGCUCAACUCCGGAAUUGCCUUUAAGACUGCAUCGCUAGAAUUGUGGAGAGGUAAGUGGAAUUCCGAGUGUAGAGGUGAAAUUCGUAGAUAUUCGGAAGAACACCAGUGGCGAAGGCGACUUACUGGACACAUAUUGACGCUGAGGUGGCGAAAAGCGUGGGGAGGCAAACAGG